UGCCCUAGUAACGGCGAGUGAAGCGGCAACAGCUCAAAUUUGAAAUCUGGCCUUCGGGUCCGAGUUGUAAUUUGUAGAGGAUGCUUUUGGUGAGGUACCUUCCGAGUUCCCUGGAACGGGACGCCAUAGAGGGUGAGAGCCCCGUCUGGUUGGAUACCGAUCCUCUGUAAAGCUCCUUCGACGAGUCGAGUAGUUUGGGAAUGCUGCUCUAAAUGGGAGGUAUAUGUCUUCUAAAGCUAAAUAUUGGCCAGAGACCGAUAGCGCACAAGUAGAGUGAUCGAAAGAUGAAAAGCACUUUGAAAAGAGAGUUAAAAAGUACGUGAAAUUGUUGAAAGGGAAGCGCUCAUGACCAGACUUGGGCUUGGUUGAUCAUCCAGGGUUCUCCCUGGUGCACUCUUCCAGCUCAGGCCAGCAUCAGUUCGCUGUGGGGGAUAAAGGCUUCGGGAAUGUGGCUCCUCCGGGAGUGUUAUAGCCCGCUGCGUAAUACCCUGUGGCGGACUGAGGUUCGCGCAUCUGCAAGGAUGCUGGCGUAAUGGUCAUCAGCGACCCGUCUUGAAACACGGACCAAGGAGUCGUCUUCGUAUGCGAGUGUUCGGGUGUUAAACCCCUACGCGUAAUGAAAGUGAACGCAGGUGAGAGCUUCGGCGCAUCAUCGACCGAUCCUGAUGUUCUCGGAUGGAUUUGAGUAAGAGCAUACGGGGCCGGACCCGAAAGAAGGUGAACUAUGCCUGUAUAGGGUGAAGCCAGAGGAAACUCUGGUGGAGGCUCGCAGCGGUUCUGACGUGCAAAUCGAUCGUCAAAUAUGGGCAUGGGGGCGAAAGACU
rnacentral:rRNA from 1 species